rnacentral:rRNA from 1 species
AACGAACGCUGGCGGCAGGCUUAACACAUGCAAGUCGAGCGCCCCGCAAGGGGAGCGGCAGACGGGUGAGUAACGCGUGGGAAUCUACCCAUCUCUACGGAAUAACGCAUGGAAACGUGUGCUAAUACCGUAUACGUCCUUCGGGAGAAAGAUUUAUCGGAGAUGGAUGAGUCCGCGUUGGAUUAGCUAGUUGGUGGGGUAAAGGCCUACCAAGGCGACGAUCCAUAGCUGGUCUGAGAGGAUGAUCAGCCACACUGGGACUGAGACACGGCCCAGACUCCUACGGGAGGCAGCAGUGGGGAAUAUUGGACAAUGGGCGCAAGCCUGAUCCAGCCAUGCCGCGUGAGUGAUGAAGGCCCUAGGGUUGUAACGCUCUUUCACCGGUGAAGAUAAUGACGGUAACCGGAGAAGAAGCCCCGGCUAACUUCGUGCCAGCAGCCGCCGUAACAC